UCUAUGCACUUUUUGAAGUACAGUCUACUCCUUUUUCUCCCAUCUGUGCAGGCCAGUGCCAAGGCACCUUCUUGGCAAAUGAUGCAAUUUGGGUGCUUGCAACCAGUUCUCUGGAGAUAUUGAGUGAAGACUGAGUCGAUUGUAGCUGAACAAAGGGAAGAUGAAAGAGGCUGUGAAAGAAAUCGUGCCAUUGAGAAUAGACGACUUAAUGGAGUUGUGGAGGUGUGUCAGAUGGGAUUUGUCUUCAUCACUGUGAGCUGCCCCUUUGUGCAGCUUCCUAUUGCUUAGAUCACUCCAGCUUCCAGCAAACUGAAGAAUACUCACUUUGUUCAAGCCUGUGAGUUGCAACUGACUUAAUUGCUUAGAAAAACAUCUUUACAGGACAAAGCAAAAGCAAACAAAGUGCUCCAAGAGUGCAGAAGAGUAGACUGAAAGAGAACUGGCACAGAAGCUAUCACUUUGUAAACAUGAAAAAACUUCUGGAAACACCUCUGUGGAAGACAGGAUCCAAACUCUCAUCUCCUCCCAGUGACCCUUUGUGGUGACAGUUUCAGUAUCAGCAAAUGCAGGAGCAGCUUUGGUACCAGCACUCACUGUGCUGUGCUGAAUCCUUGGGGGCCAAGCUCAAGUUACAGGAUAACUGUUACAUCGAUGAAGCCCUGCUUUGUAGAACAUUGGUUUGGGAAGUCUCACCUGAUCUAUCUGAAAUAGUCAUUGCAAGGAACCUUGUGACAAGCUCCUGUUGCCACCCAGACAGCCACCAACCACCCCGUGAAAGAGAUUUGAUUCCAGCAUGUAAGUGUUACUGUAUGCCAAGAUGAUGAUUGGUUUUAUUAUCAUUAUUCUUUUGAACAAGCAGUGU
rnacentral:lncRNA from 1 species